AUCCCAUGAUUUGAACACUUCCUCAUCAACUCUUUAAAUCUGUUCCAUGCCUUGUGAUAGCUCUCAACAUCUCUUUGUUAAAAAGUUUAAAUUUCCAGUAUGAUUUU
rnacentral:snoRNA from 1 species